AUUGAACGCUGGCGGCAUGCUUUACACAUGCAAGUCGAACGGUAACAGGCCGCAAGGUGCUGACGAGUGGCGAACGGGCGAGUAAUGCAUCGGAACGUGCCCAGUCGUGGGGGAUAACGCAGCGAAAGCUGCGCUAAUACCGCAUACGAUCUAUGGAUGAAAGCGGGGGACCGUAAGGCCUCGCGCGAUUGGAGCGGCCGAUGUCAGAUUAGGUAGUUGGUGGGGUAAAGGCUCACCAACGCAACGAUCUGUAGCUGGUCUGAGAGGACGACCAGCCACGCUGGGACUGAGACACGGCCCAGACUCCUACGGGAGGCAGCAGUGGGGAAUUUUGGACAAUGGGCGCAAGCCUGAUCCAGCAAUGCCGCGUGCAGGAAGAAGGCCUUCGGGUUGUAAACUGCUUUUGUACGGAACGAAACGGUCUGGGUUAAUACCUCGGGCUAAUGACGGUACCGUAAGAAUAAGCACCGGCUAACUACGUGCCAGCCGCCGCCGUAACAC
rnacentral:rRNA from 1 species